GCCUGGGUGGCUCAGUCGGUUGAGCAUCUGACUUUAGCUCAGAUCAUGAUCUCAUGGUUUGUGAGUUCACGCCCCGCAUCGGGCU
rnacentral:tRNA from 1 species